rnacentral:rRNA from 1 species
UGAUGCAGCGACGCCGCGUGGGGGAUGACGGCCUUCGGGUUGUAAACUCCUUUCGCCCGGGACGAAGCCCACCUGGUGGGUGACGGUACCGUGGAGAAGAAGCACCGGCUAACUACGUGCCAGCAGCCGCGGUAAUACGUAGGGUGCAAGCGUUGUCCGGAUUUACUGGGCGUAAAGAGCUCGUAGGUGGUGUGUCGCGUCGUCUGUGAAAUUCCGGGGCUUAACUCCGGGCGUGCAGGCGAUACGGGCACGACUAGAGUGCUGUAGGGGUAACUGGAAUUCCUGGUGUAGCGGUGAAAUGCGCAGAUAUCAGGAGGAACACCGAUGGCGAAGGCAGGUUACUGGGCAGUUACUGACGCUGAGGAGCGAAAGCAUGGGGAGCGAACAGGAUUAGAUACCCUGGUAGUCCAUGCCGUAAACGUUGGGCACUAGGUGUGGGGGACAUUCCACGUUUUCCGCGCCGUAGCUAACGCAUUAAGUGCCCCGCCUGGGGAGUACGGCCGCAAGGCUAAAACUCAAAGGAAUUGACGGGGGCCCGCACAAGCGGCGGAGCAUGCGGAUUAAUUCGAUGCAACGCGAAGAACCUUACCAAGGCUUGACAUGCAUUAGAUCGCGUCAGAGAUGGCGUUUCCCUUCGGGGCUGGUGUACAGGUGGUGCAUGGUUGUCGUCAGCUCGUGUCGUGAGAUGUUGGGUUAAGUCCCGCAACGAGCGCAACCCUUGUCUCGUGUUGCCAGCACGUUGUGGUGGGGACUCGCGGGAGACUGCCGGGGUUAACUCGGAGGAAGGUGGGGAUGACGUCAAAUCAUCAUGCCCCUUAUGUCUUGGGCUUCACGCAUGCUACAAUGGCCGGUACAGAGGGUUGCGAUGCCGUGAGGCGGGGCGAAUCCCUUAAAGCCGGUCUCAGUUCGGAUUGGGGUCUGCAACUCGACCCCAUGAA